GUUCUCUGCGUUGUCAUGGAAACCAGUCAAAUUAAUUGGGCCAUCCAAUACACUGUGCAGAUACAGUCCUCUUAAGGUCCACUAGACAGGUUGUCAAUCAAGUGCAAACUGUUACCUUGAGGUAAUUGGCGAAGGGGACGUAGGUAAAGAAGAGACUUGGAAACACCAAAAGAUGGACAAAACAAGAGAAAAAGAAGUGGAACCAGACUCAUGUGAUGGGAUUAGGGAGAUAUUUACUGCAACCAGAAGAAGAGAUGGAGAGAUGGACUUGAAAGAAAGACAGAGGCGGAGAAAUGGAGGUCGACAUGCAAAUGGAAGCUCAUCAGUGUCAGAGCAGGCUGAAUAUGGGGAUCGAGACAAUGAGAGGAGGAAAGGGGACACUUUUCCAAGGAUGACAAAACCAACCAGAGUGAGAGACAGAAGGAUACCAAUUCCAGAUUAUGAAAGAGAAAGUCACAUGGGAAGACCGAAGGACAUACUGUGUAAAAAUGAAAGAGAUAAGGAAAGGAGGAGAUACAGAGACAUGGACAUGCAGGGUGAAAGAGAAAUUGCAAGAUAUAGGGAGGAGUUGCAGAGAAAUGAAAUGAGAAGGCUUGUAAAGGAGGAGCCAGAUAGACAGAGGGAACGAGAGAAGGAGUUUGACUCAGGAAUGAGAGGAAGAAGGAGAGAAAGUUAUCCAGGGGUCAGUGACCUUUCAGGCAUGAGGGAAAAAGAGACAGACAGAGACAGAUAUCAACAAAGAGACAGAGAGGGUAGAUAUUAUCCUCGACUAAUGGAAAGAGAGACAGAGAGCUUUUCAGAUAGGGAAAGGAGAACUGAGAGACCGAGAGAGGGAGAGAGAUCUAGGAAAAGAGAUACAAAAAGUGAAGGAGACAGUGAUGGAGACAGAGGAAAGGAAAGGAAGAGAGAAGAAGAUGCUAAACAUAGACACAAACUCUACAAGAGUGAAGGAGACAGUGACGCAGAGCGAAGGGUAGACAGAGGUAGAGAGAGAGACAGAUGUAGAGAGAGAGAAGCUGAGAGAUGGCGAGAUAUGCCAAUGCCUAGAGAAAGAGAUCAUCGGGAGAAAGGUUAUCAUGAUUCAAAAGGGGACAAUUUGGAACGACUCAGAGAGACAGAUAAACCAAGAUACAGAACAAUAGACUCAAAAGAGAAGAGAACAGACAGAGAUGCUUACUUAUACACAGCUGAAAGACAAAGGUAUAGAGAUGGAGAAAGGAUAAGAGAGAGGGAUAGGUAUUCUGAAAGAGAAAUUGUCGAGAGGGAGAGGCGGAGGAAAAACAGAGAGACAGGGAGAAGUAAGGUGGAGAAGAGUGGACAAAGUAGUGGAGAGCUGAUUUCAGGAACUGAUAUUGAGAUUGAAAAAAGGAGGGCAAUGAGAGAAAACUUUGAGGACAGAGACAGAGAAAACACAUAUGAGACUGAUAAAGAAAGACUGAAGGGAAGAACAGAGGAAGAGCAGGAAGUAAGGAGUACACUGAGGGAAGGAGAGAAGAGUGAAAGCUUUGCUGCUGAGGAAGCAGUUACAAAGAAACCUAAAAACAGGAUAAGGAAAAUGUGGCUGGAACCUCGUAGUGAGAGAAAAGAAUCUUGUUUGAAAGAGGAGUACUCAGAGAGAGAGAGAGCAAGAGAGAGGUACAUCCAAAGGUACACAGAAAGCAUGACAACUGGAAAUGGAGAAGAGCCUGAGAUAAGGAAAGCAAGCAAGAGCAAAAGUCUUGAGGACAAGUAUAGAGAACUUGAGAGGGCCGGGGAGUUCUUGUUAGAUGUGGGCAGAAAAAGGGUGGAGAAGAGGAUCGAAGAGGACAUGGCUUCUGAUAAAGAAGCCAUGGAACCACAGUGGCAGAUGAACAGAGAGAAUGUGGCCAAUAACAUGGAAGAGAAUGACAGAGAUGAACAGAGAAGCAACAAUAGAUAUGACUACUUGGAGGAUGAGGAAGGAAAUGAGGGAGAGUCAGUAGCAGAGAAGAACAGAAUGAUGGCAGUAGAUGACGGAUUUGUAACGGUCUCCAGUGGAGGGGAUGAUGCAGAAGAAGAGGAUUUUGAAGACUGCAAAGAAUUCUGGGAAGGUGGAGUUCCCGUAACUGUCUCUGGACACUCAGGAACUAUUCAUGACAGAGAAAUUGGGGCAGAUGAAGAAAUGGAAAUCCAAACAGUUAAUGAAAGAGCAGAUUGUAUGGCUCCAAAAGGACCCCUGAGAGUCUUUUGUGUGAUUGGUCAGACCCUUCCCAAUUCACAAACCAAAGAGAAUUCAUAUAUACAUCCUACUGUUGAAGAGGCAGCCGAUCAGCAUUCAGGUCAUAACAUGGACAACCAAGUUGAAAUAAGCACUGUAAAUGUAAAUGAAGCAUUUGAAAGAGUUGAACACUGUGAACAGGACAUUGAAAGAGCGAUGGAUGGCCUCAGUCUUUCUCCUAAUGAGGACAAAGGGGAGGGUGCAGGAAGUAAUGACCAGGCAACAGAGAGUGUAACAUCAAUGGAAGGCCAAAUGAUUCCUCCCAGUGAGCGAUCAGAACAAGACAACCAACUUUUCCUACCAGAGCCUUUUGAAACUUCAGGGCCAUGCAAGGAUAAUGGUAACGGGGCUACAGAGACUCAUAGUGAAGACACAAUACAAAGAGGAGAAAAAGAACCUACCGGAGACACAGUGGAGCAUUUAGGUUCAGAUGACUCAUGGAGCCCAUCAGAGGAACGAAAGCGAUCCUCUACUGCCCCUCACCUUAGAUGGGCCAAGAACGUGGUGAGAGAGAUCCUGGGUCCAAAGUCGGCAGACACAGAAAAUACAAGAGGUAGUAUAACACACAUAGACAUGCAAAACAACACACAAACAGAGGGUGAGAGAGAAAUGGACAAAUCAAGGAAAGAGGAAGAAAUAAUUGAGGGAGGAGAAGAACAACAGGGAGGGAUGGACAGAGAGUUGAAUGAGAAACGUGACUGGCUUGAUCCUAGUUCUAACCAGCACAUGGUUUCCUCAGAAGGAGAGGCAGAGGGGAUGGUAGAAGAAAUAUCUAAGAAGAAAGAUAGUACUGAGGAAGUUGUUCUAAGCUCUAGUAGUUUUCGAGAUUUGGGAAAUGAAGCUCGCAUGAGGAGGCGAGGGUUCCGAAAGUCAGUGGAGAAAACCAAAGAAGAGGAUGAGGAAGAGGAUGAGGAAGAUGAUGAGGAUGAGGAAGAGGAAAAGGAAGAGGGAGAGGGAGAAGGAGAAGGAGUUGGAAGGGACCGAAGAACAAGAAUAUUCAACAACUCAGAUGAUAAAGAGGAUGAAUUAUCUUUUACCUGGAGUGAAAUGGAUCUAAGGAAACUUGGGAGGACAAAAAAGAGGAAUUCUAAAUUCUUUAGUAAGUCUUUGUAUUGUCUUUAUCUGGAACAAAUUUCUGAUCAUUACAUGGACUUGUACAUGGCUAUAACAGACUACAAAUAA
ensembl:lncRNA